UCUUAAGGAUGAACAAAGAAAGUGGUUUCAUGAAAUGGAAUCUACUUUUAGUGAAGAUGCUGUGAC
rnacentral:pre_miRNA from 4 species